ACAAAGAUAGAUAGGGUUCAGAGAGAACUGAAGAAAGAGUGUGUGUGAGUGUGAGAGAGAAACAAAAACCCAAAAAUCCCUAUUUCUGGUUUCGAUCUGAACAAAAACGGCUUCGUAUCUUCAUUCUUCAUACCUACAGUUUAGGUCAGAGAGAUCCACCAGAUCUAUACCAAAUUCAAUGGAAUGUUGUUGGAUGAGAAUACUUGCACACAAGCUAUGAAGCUGUUGAAGGAAACCAAACACCUUUUACAGACUAAUGUUUCAGCUUUUGGCAACGGAACGGUUGAUGAAGCAGAAAGGUUUUGGUUUGCUUUUGUUCUGUUUUCUAUUAAAAGGCUAAGUGAGAAGAAUGGGGAUAGUGAGCAGCAAGGGUCUGAUGGUAAUGGAUAUACGUUAUGCCAGAUAUUGAGAGCUGUGAAGCUGAACAUUGUGGACUUCUUCAAGGAGCUUCCUCAGUUUGUUGUCAAGGCUGGUCCAACUUUGAGUAAUGUAUAUGGUGCAGAUUGGGAGAAUGGACUUGAGGCAAAAGAGAUGCAGGCCAAUUUUGUGCACUUGAGUCUACUAAGCCAGUCCUACAAACGUGCAAUCCGGGAAUUUUUCUUGACAACUGAAGCAAAUGUUGAUAAGCAGUCCACUGUUGCUAGUGCAUCUGGCUAUGUCUCAGACUACCACCGUCUUGGAUGGUUGCUUUUUCUGGCACUCUGCGUACAUGCGAUCAGCCGUUUUUAAGGACUUGGUGACUUGCAUGAAUGGUUUGGUUUCCAUAUUGGCUAUCUUAAUUAUUCAUGUUCCUGUUUGCUUCAGAAAUUUCAAAUUUGAUGAUUCUCAACUAUUUUUUAAGAAAGACAGCAAAGGUGUAGACAUCCUCGCAUCACUUUGCAACAAAUAUGAAACAUCAGAAGAUGAGUUGAGGAAAACAAUGGAAAAGGCCAAUAAUUUAUAUAUAUAUAUAUAUAUAUAUAUAUAUUGAAUAAAAAGCCACAACCAGCAUCUGAGUGUAGACAGUAUAAUUGGAAACUUAGAGAAUAUCGACACAGAUGGUUUGACAUAUUUUGAAAAUCUACUGGCAGACUCAUCUUUGUCAUCCAGUUUAGGUAUUUUAGAAAAGGAUUAUGAUGGUGCAAUUCGUAGUAAGGGCAAACUGGAUGAGAGGGUUUUCAUUAAUGAUGAGGACAAUAUACUUGGUUCAAGGAGCUUGUCAGGAGGUUCUGUGAAUAUAAGUGGUGUGAAGAGGAAAUUUGAUUUGAUAGCCUCACUGGCUAAGACGAUUACAAGUCCACUCUCUCCUCAGCACUCUCCUGCAUCUCAUGCAAAUGGAAAUAUUGGGGAUUCUAAUUCAAAGAUGGUAGCUAUGCCUGUAAGCACAGCGAUGACAACUGCAAAGUGGCUCCGUACUGUCAUUUCACCACUUCCAUCAAAGCCCUAACAGGAACUGAAGCGUUUCCUGGCAUCUUUUGAUAGGGAUUAGCAGAGGAAGUAGAUUCAAGGGCACUAAUAAUAUUGUUUGCUAUAUUUCCAAGUACUGCUCAGGGAGAGCAUCGUAUGUCUACAAGCCUGUAAUCUGCAAAUCUCAUGGACAUCAUUCGGGCAGAACAACGAAAAUUUGAAGCACUCAAGUUAUAUCAUAGGGUAUUGGAAGCAAUUUGUAGAGCAGAGGCCCAAAUACUGCAUGCAAGUAAUUUGACAGCUCUAUUUACUAAUGAGAGGUUCCAUAGAUGUAUGCUUGCCUGUUCUGCUGAACUUGUUCUGGCAACACAUAAGACUGUUACAAUGCUGUUUCCUGCAGUGUUGGAGAGGACUGGCAUUACAGCUUUCGAUCUUAGCAAGGUCAUUGAAAGUUUCAUUAGACAUGAUGAAUCCUGCCUGAAAAUUGAGGCGACAUUUGAAUUCAUUAGAAGAGUUAGAUUAA